CAGUAGCGCGGUAAUACGGAGGGUGCAAGCGUUAAUCGGAAUUACUGGGCGUAAAGCGCACGCAGGCGGUCUGACAAGUCAGAUGUGAAAUCCCCGGGCUUAACCUGGGAACUGCAUUUGAAACUGUCAGGCUGGAGUCUUGUAGAGGGGGGUAGAAUUCCAGGUGUAGCGGUGAAAUGCGUAGAGAUCUGGAGGAAUACCGGUGGCGAAGGCGGCCCCCUGGACAAAGACUGACGCUCAGGUGCGAAAGCGUGGGGAGCAAACAGGAUUAGAUACCCCUGUAGUCCCUGUCUCUUAUACA
rnacentral:rRNA from 1 species